rnacentral:pre_miRNA from 1 species
UCUGGGUGGAUGGCUACAGGAAAGGGAAGAUCAAGGCUUGCCAUCUGUCCCACCUGCCACCCUACCCUGUCUGUUCUUGCCACAG